rnacentral:rRNA from 1 species
GACGAACGCUGGCGGCAUGCUUAACACAUGCAAGUCGAACGGAAAGGCCCUGCUUUUGUGGGGUGCUCGAGUUGCGAACGGGUGAGUAACCCGUGAGUACCCUGUACUUGACUUUGGGAUAACUUCAGACAACUUGGUCUCUUACCGGCUAGGAGUUACUGCUGCUUGGUGGGGGUUGGAUAGUUUCGGCGGUUGGGGAUGGAAUCGCGGCUUAUGAGCUUGGUGGUGGGGUAGUGGCUUACCAAGGCUUUGAAGGGUAGCAGGCCUGCGAGGAGGACCGGCCAAGUUGGGACUGAGAUACGGCCCAGACUACAAUGGUAGGCAGCGGAGGGGAAGAUUGCACAAUGGACGGAAGCCAGAUGUAGCAACGCCGCGUGCGGUAUGACGUGCUGCGGGUUGUAAACCGCUUUCGCCUGAGACGAGGCGUGAGUGACGGUAAUGGGUAAAUAAGCACCGGCUAACUACGUG